rnacentral:rRNA from 1 species
CCUACGGGUGGCAGCAGUGGGGAAUAUUGCACAAUGGGGGAAACCCUGAUGCAGCGAUGCCGCGUGAGUGAAGAAGUAUUUCGGUAUGUAAAGCUCUAUCAGCAGGGAAGAAGCAAGACGGUACCUGACCAAGAAGCCACGGCUAACCACGUGCCAGCAGCCGCGGUAAUACGUAGGGGGCAAGCGUUAGCCGGAUUUACGGGGUGUAAGGGGAGCGUAGACGGUGUGGCAAGUUUGAGGUGAAAGCCCAGGGCUUAACCCUGGAACUGCUUUGGAAACUGUUGGACUAGAGUGCUGGAGAGGUAGGUGGAAUUGCUGGUGUAGCGGUGAAAUGCGUAGAGAUUAGGAGGAACACCGGUGGCGAAGGCGGCUUACUGGACAAUAACUGACGUUGAGGCUCGAAAGCGUGGGGAGCAAACAGGAUUAGAUACCCCAGUAGUC